rnacentral:tRNA from 1 species
GGAGAAGUAUCGAAGUGGUCAUAACGAGGCGCACUCGAAAUGCGUUUGGGUUCACGCCCACGGGGGUUCGAAUCCCUCCUUCUCCGCCA